AAAAAACACCAAAAAGAAUUCAAGCAGAGACAACA
rnacentral:sRNA from 1 species